rnacentral:rRNA from 1 species
UACGUAGGGUGCGAGCGUUGUCCGGAAUUAUUGGGCGUAAAGGGCCCGUAGGCGGUUUGUCGCGUCGGGAGUGAAAACCCAGGGCUUAACUCUGGGCUUGCUUUCGAUACGGGCAGACUAGAGGUAUGCAGGGGAGAACGGAAUUCCUGGUGUAGCGGUGAAAUGCGUAGAGAUCCGGAGGAACACCAGUGGCGAAGGCGACACGCUGGGCCGUACCUGACACUGAGGCGCGAUAGCAUGGGGAGCAAACAGG